rnacentral:rRNA from 1 species
UACGGAGGGGGCAAGCGUUGUUCGGAUUUACUGGGCGUAAAGGGUGUGUAGGCGGCUGGAUAAGUCUGGCGUGAAAUCUUCACCGCUCAACGGGAAGGGGUCGCUGGAAACUGUUCAGCUUGAGUGUGGUAGAGGCAAACGGAAUUCCUGGUGUAGCGGUGGAAUGCGCAGAUAUCAGGAGGAACACCGAUGGCGAAGGCAGAUCUCUGGGCCGUAACUGACGCUGAGGAGCGAAAGCGUGGGGAGCGAACAGG